UGGUGGAGUGAUUUGUCUGGUUAAUUCCGUUAACGAACGAGACCUCAGCUUGCUAACUAGUUGGACGAAUUUUUAUUCGUCGAAACUUCUUAGAGGGACUAUGAGCGUUUAGCUCAUGGAGGUUUGAGGCAAUAACA
rnacentral:rRNA from 1 species